UACGUAGGGCGCAAGCGUUGUCCGGAAUUAUUGGGCGUAAAGAGCUCGUAGGCGGUUUGUCGCGUCUGCUGUGAAAACUCGAGGCUCAACCUCGGGCUUGCAGUGGGUACGGGCAGACUAGAGUGCGGUAGGGGUGACUGGAAUUCCUGGUGUAGCGGUGGAAUGCGCAGAUAUCAGGGAGGAACACCGAGUGGCGAAAGGCAGGUCACUGGGCCGCA
rnacentral:rRNA from 1 species